rnacentral:rRNA from 1 species
UGGGGAAUUUUGGACAAUGGGGGAAACCCUGAUCCAGCCAUCCCGCGUGUGCGAUGAAUGCCUUCGGGUUGUAAAGCACUUUUGGCAGGAAAGAAACGUCAUGGGUUAAUACCCCGUGAAACUGACGGUACCUGCAGAAUAAGCACCGGCUAACUACGUGCCAGCAGCCGCGGUAAUACGUAGGGUGCAAGCGUUAAUCAGAAUUACUGGGCGUAAAGCGUGCGCAGGCGGUUCGGAAAGAAAGAUGUGAAAUCCCAGAGCUCAACUUUGGAACUGCAUUUUUAACUACCGGGCUAGAGUGUGUCAGAUGGAGGUGGAAUUCCGCGUGUAGCAGUGAAAUGCGUAGAUAUGCGGAGGAACACCGAUGGCGAAGGCAGCCUCCUAGGAUAACACUGACGCUCAUGCACGAAAGCGUGGGGAGCAAACAGG